rnacentral:rRNA from 1 species
AACGAACGCUGGCGGCAUGCCUAACACAUGCAAGUCGAACGAGACCUUCGGGUCUAGUGGCGCACGGGUGCGUAACGCGUGGGAACCUGCCCUUAGGUUCGGAAUAACUCCCCGAAAGGGGUGCUAAUACCGGAUAAUGUCUUCGGACCAAAGAUUUAUCGCCUUUGGAUGGGCCCGCGUUGGAUUAGCUAGUUGGUAGGGUAAAAGCCUACCAAGGCGACGAUCCAUAGCUGGUCUGAGAGGAUGAUCAGCCACACUGGGACUGAGACACGGCCCAGACUACUACGGGAGGCAGCAGUGGGGAAUAUUGGACAAUGGGCGAAAGCCUGAUACAGCAAUGCCGCGUGAGUGAUGAAGGCCUUAGGGUUGUAAAGCUCUUUUAACCGGGAUGAUAAUGACAGUACCGGGAGAAUAAGCUCCGGCUAACUCCGUG